ACUCAAAUGAAUAGACGGGGGCCCGCACAAGCGGUGGAGUAUGUGGUUUAAUUCGAAGCAACGCGCAGAACCUUACCUACCCUUAACAUCCCAGGACAGCUGCAGAGAUGUAGUGUUCCCUUCGGGGACCUGGUGAUAGGUGCUGCAUGGCUGUCGUCAGCUCGUGUCGUAAGAUGUCCGGUUAAGUCCGAUAACGAGCGCAACCCUUGUCCUUAGUUACCAGCAUUAAGUUGGGGACUCUGAGGAGACUGCCGGUGUUAAACCGGAGGAAGGCGGGGAUGACGUCAAGUCCUCAUGGCCCUUACGGGUAGGGCUACACACGUACUACAAUGGCAGAAACAAACCGUCGCUAAGCCGCGAGGUGGAGCUAAUCGGUAAAACACUGUCUCAGUCCGGAUUGCAGUCUGCAACUCGACUGCAUGAAGCUGGAAUCGCUAGUAAUCGCUGAUCAGCAAGCAGCGGUGAAUACGUUCCCGGGCCUUGUACACACCGCCCGU
rnacentral:rRNA from 1 species